UUUACCUGCAAUUGUGGAAUAAAUUAUAACUGAACCUUCAGUGAGGAUUUCUGACCUCAUUUGGUGAAGAAUAGCUCCAGUUAAAGAGAUGAUUCUGGCUCCCUGUGUGCAACAACAAUAAAAGAACCUUUCUGGGAAUUUCCCCGACCUUAAAGGUUUUGCAUAACCCACAUUUCCAUCUUAAAAUACGCUUGAUUUUUUUUACUAAUUUCUGUUCAGAUAUGGGUUUAUCUUCAUUCAAAUUAGAUAAACUGGUCUCUCCCUCUCACCUGGAUCCUAUAUAAAAAGCCCAGAUCAGUAAGUUCUGCAGCUUCAGAGACUUUCCACCACUGAAGAUCUUCAGCAGUCCGUGCUUCAGACAGCCAAGUCUACCGACAGUCAGUUGAAAGGGAAAAAUAACAUCCGUAAUCAUGAAGAUCCAGGUUGCCGGCUUCCUGCUGAUGCUGCUCUCUGCUGUCGAGCUCUGCGAAGGACUAAGACGCAUCAAUGCCAUGACCAAACAGCAAUGCGAUGCUGUAAUGGCAGCAGAAGUUAAUAACGGGAGGGGAUGCCAACAUACUGAAACCUUCAUUGUGGCUACUCUCGAUGCUGUCAAUGCCGCCUGUCAAAAUGUGAACGAAGCUCUUGCCACAUUUCCAGUUGUUGACUGUACACGCAAAAUGAGAGCGAACGGUUGUGUUUAUGAAGGUAAUGCACAUGGAGCAAGUAAAGUUAAGCUUCAAUGUGCAAAUGGUCAAGUUGUGAACUAUGUAAGUGUUGUAAGACUUGCUUAAAAGCGACACAUCAGAUAAUUCCUGGCAUAUAUAAAAAUUUGAAGCUCAUGUUUAUCCUGAUAGACUCUUAAGCUACUUCUGUUUACAUUGUCAUCAGUUUCCCUACAUGUAACUAUGUCUGAACUUCCAGAGAGCUUUUUCUUUUGAGCCUUAUUACCCAUUACCAUCUUAUGUUUUGGCUUUGGCUUGUUUCUUGUAGCUGUCUCAAUCCAAAUAAACUUAUUGCUUACAAUCUGA